GGGGACAGAGAUGAAGGCUAGAGGCUGGGGGGGGGCAUAGAGACGAAAGGUCGAGGGUCAGAGGGGGACAUAGAGAUGAGAGCUAGAGGGUCAGAGGGGGGAGCAUAGAGAUGAAAGGUAGAGGGUCAGAGGGGGACGUAGAGAUGAAAGCUAGAGGGUCAGAGGGGGACACAGAGAUGAAAGGUAGAGGGUCAGAGGGGGACAUAGAGAUGAGAGCUAGAGGGUCAGAGGGGGAGCAUAGAGAUGAAAGCUAGAGGGUCAGAGGGGGACAUAGAGAUGAAAGGUAGAGGGUCAGAGGGGGACAUAGAGAUGAAAGCUAGAGGGUGGGGGGCAUAGAGAUGAAAGGUAGAGGGUCAGACGCGGAUAUAGAGAUGAAAGCUAGAAGGUCAGAAAGAGCCAUAGGGAUGAACGCUAGAGGUUCAGAGGGGGGCAUAGAGAUGAAAGCUAGAAGGUCAGAGGGCGGGCAUAGGGUUGAAAGCUAGAGGGUCAGAGGGGGAAAUAAAGAUGAAAGCUAGAGGGUCAGAGGGCGCGCAUAGAGAUGAAAGCUAGAGGGUCAGAGCGGGCUUUGAGUUGAAAGUCACAAUCAGAGGGGGGCAAAGAGAUGGAGGCUACAGGGUUAGAAGUAGGACACAGACAUAAAUAGUCAAAGUAGGGCAGAGAUCUAGGCUGAAGAAUCAGGGGUGGAGGUGGCACAAUGAUCCAGAAAGGUUGUCUGAGGGGGAGAGGGCUGUGGCACGGGAGUGGGCUGUGGAGCGCAGAGGCCAAGACAGG
rnacentral:lncRNA from 1 species